UACAGAGGUCUCAAGCGUUGUUCGGAUUCAUUGGGCGUAAAGGGUGCGCAGGCUGUGUGGUAAGUCGGGUGUGAAAUUUAGAGGCUUAACCUCUAAACUGCAUUCGAUACUGCCAUGCUAGAGGACUGUAGAGGAGAUUGGAAUUCACGGUGUAGCAGUGAAAUGCGUAGAUAUCGUGAGGAAGACCAGUGGCGAAGGCGAAUCUCUGGGCAGUUCCUGACGCUCAUGCACGAAGGCUAGGGGAGCAAAC
rnacentral:rRNA from 1 species